UACGUAGGGUGCAGGCGUUAAUCGGAAUUACUGGGCGUAAAGCGUGCGCAGGCGGUCUUUUAAGUCAGAUGUGAAAAUCCCCGGGCUUAACCUGGGAACUGCGUUUGAAACUGGAAGGCUAGAGUGUGGCAGAGGGGGGUGGAAUUCCACGUGUAGCAGUGAAAUGCGUAGAUAUGUGGAGGAACACCGAUGGCGAAGGCAGCCCCCUGGGCUAACACUGACGCUCAUGCACGAAAGCGUGGGGAGCAAACAGG
rnacentral:rRNA from 1 species